UGACCGGCGGCAAUUAUAGUCGUUUGUGUGCUUGUUUUGCCGUUUACAAAUUUGGUCAAUGAAAACAUGAAAUUUACGAUAAAACAUCACUAGACAUGAUGAUUUACACAUUCAAUGGUAUUUGUGUACUGUAUGGCGGACAAUAUUUCAUACGCAGAGAUUAAGGUUACAUGUGUAUUUGUCUCGUAAAAUAAGCCGGAAAUAGCGAUCAGCUGUUUACACAUUUUCGGAUUUUCUUCCCUGUCUGUGGGUGAUUUAGUUUUCAGAAUUCUUAAUGUCAUGGCCACUAUCAUGUCUGAAACGAAAUUCCAGUGAUAGGAAGACCGAAGACUUUGUAUCUCUAACGACUAAUGUUAGUUUCAAGGCGAGAUCAUGAUCAGUUAAUGUGGUAUGAAUAGUCGAUCAGUUCAUACACGAUUUCGACAAUAUUAAUGCAAACAAAAUUGAAUGGAAUCUUGGAAAAAAAGUAUCCCUGUGUUAUGGAUUUUCGGAUACGAAAGAAACAUUCGUAGUUUUCUCUCUUAUCACAUGAACAACUCAUUCACUUAUAAUAGACAACUUUCUUAAAAAAAUUAGCCAUCAUCUGAGUAUGGCCAGGUAGCAUCUAGUGUAAUAACAGGAUUAACUUGCGUGCUUCACCACAUAUCUUGGCUCAUAAAAAUCAUAUGUGCCCUAGGGUCAUAUUAUGUCAUGAGACAACAGUGUUUUGUUUCCGUCAUCCAUCCGUCAGAAUGACAUCACACAAGAAACGACGCCAUAGCUGAAAAUUGUUGACAUUCGACAAAUUGUGGUUCCACUGAUGUUGCGACUUGCUGUCCUUAUAGACUUCGAACACAACUGGAGUAUUGGAAGACAUGUUCUAUUGCUGGUUGCUACGGGAACCACAGACCCUGGUAUGGCUGCCGAUGCUCCACAGACUGGCAGCAGCUGAGACAGUGAAACAUGAGGCGAAGUGCAUUAUUUGUACAUCUUUCCCCAGAAUAGGAUUCAGGUGAGUUUCAGUUAGCUAAUUUCAUAUUUUUCUCAACAUUGUAAGAAGCUUUAUGUGUUUGUUAACAUUGGACCAUGUUCCACCUAUGGAGGGCUUUAAGAGCCUCUGCAGAGUUGU